AGUGAACGCUGGCGGUAGGCCUAACACAUGCAAGUCGAACGGCAGCACAGGAGAGCUUGCUCUCUGGGUGGCGAGUGGCGGACGGGUGAGGAAUACAUCGGAAUCUACUCUGUCGUGGGGGAUAACGUAGGGAAACUUACGCUAAUACCGCAUACGACCUACGGGUGAAAGCAGGGGAUCUUCGGACCUUGCGCGAUUGAAUGAGCCGAUGUCGGAUUAGCUAGUUGGCGGGGUAAAGGCCCACCAAGGCGACGAUCCGUAGCUGGUCUGAGAGGAUGAUCAGCCACACGUGAACUGAGACACGGUCCAGACUCCUACGGGAGGCAGCAGUGGGGAAUAUUGGACAAUGGGCGCAAGCCUGAUCCAGCCAUACCGCGUGGGUGAAGAAGGCCUUCGGGUUGUAGAGCCCUUUUGUUGGGAAAGAAAUCCAGCUGGCUAAUACCCGGUUGGGAUGACGGUACCCAAAGAAUAAGCACCGGCUAACUUCGUGCCAGCCGCCGCCGUAA
rnacentral:rRNA from 1 species